rnacentral:tRNA from 1 species
UGGAGCCGUGCCUGAAGUAAAGGACCACUUUGAUAGAGUGAAUAAUGGGGGUUAAAGUCCCCCCGACUCCU